UGUGUAGGAUAGGUGGGAGGCUUUGAAGUGUGGACGCCAGUCUGCAUGGAGCCGACCUUGAAAUACCACCCUUUAAUGUUUGAUGUUCUAACGUGGACCCGUGAUCCGGGUUGCGGACAGUGUCUGGUGGGUAGUUUGACUGGGGCGGUCUCCUCCUAAAGAGUAACGGAGGAGCACGAAGGUUGGCUAAUCCUGGUCGGACAUCAGGAGGUUAGUGCAAUGGCAUAAGCCAGCUUGACUGCGAGCGUGACGGCGCGAGCAGGUGCGAAAGCAGGUCAUAGUGAUCCGGUGGUUCUGAAUGGAAGGGCCAUCGCUCAACGGAUAAAAGGUACUCCGGGGAUAACAGGCUGAUACCGCCCAAGAGUUCAUAUCGACGGCGGUGUUUGGCACCUCGAUGUCGGCUCAUCACAUCCUGGGGCUGAAGUAGGUCCCAAGGGUAUGGCUGUUCGCCAUUUAAAGUGGUACGCGAGCUGGGUUUAGAACGUCGUGAGACAGUUCGGUCCCUAUCUGCCGUGGGCGCUGGAGAACUGAGGGGGGCUGCUCCUAGUACGAGAGGACCGGAGUGGACGCAUCACUGGUGUUCGGGUUGUCAUGCCAAUGGCACUGCCCGGUAGCUAAAUGCGGAAGAGAUAAGUGCUGAAAGCAUCUAAGCACGAAACUUGCCCCGA
rnacentral:rRNA from 1 species